rnacentral:rRNA from 1 species
CCUACGUGGGGCAGCAGUCGAGAAUCAUUCACAAUGGGGGAAACCCUGAUGGUGCGACGCCGCGUGGGGGAAUGAAGGUCUUCGGAUUGUAAACCCCUGUCAUGUGGGAGCAAAUUAAAAAGAUAGUACCACAAGAGGAAGCGACGGCUAACUCUGUGCCAGCAGCCGCGGUAAUACAGAGGUCGCAAGCGUUGUUCGGAAUCACUGGGCGUAAAGGGUGCGUAGGCAGUUUCGUAAGUCGUGUGUGAAAGGCGCGGGCUCAACCCGCGGACGGCACAUGAUACUGGGAGACUAGAGUAAUGGAGGGGGAACGGGAAUUCUCGGUGUAGCAGUGAAAUGCGUAGAUAUCGAGAGGAACACUCGUGGCGAAGGCGGGUUCCUGGACAUUAACUGACGCUGAGGCACGAAGGCCAGGGGAGCGAAAGGGAUUAGAUACCCUUGUAGUC